AUACGGAGGGUGCAAGCGUUAAUCGGAAUUACUGGGCGUAAAGCGCUCGUAGGCGGCUUGUUAAGUCGGAUGUGAAAGCCCCGGGCUCAACCUGGGAACUGCAUUCGAUACUGGCAAGCUAGAGUAUAGUAGAGGCAAGUGGAAUUCCGGGUGUAGCGGUGAAAUGCGUAGAUAUCCGGAGGAACGUCAGUGGCGAAGGCGACUUGCUGGACUAAUACUGACGCUGAGGAGCGAAAGCGUGGGGAGCAAACAGGAUUAGAAACCCCAGUAGUCC
rnacentral:rRNA from 1 species